AAGGAGCACCAUUUCCCAGUCGAAUGAACUAGGGAACAUAAAGUAGGCAUCUGUAGUGGGUAUCUACUUGGUGAAUAUGUUUUGUAAAUCCUGUCCACCCCCGUGGAUGGGUAGUCGGCAAAACGUCGGACUGUCAUAAGAAUUGAAACGCUGGCACACUGUUGGGUCCUGAGGCAACACGUUGUGUUGUCACCCUGCUUGGUGGUGGGGUGUGGACUUUGACUUCUGAAUAGUGGUUGCGAGCAUCUAAACAUAGCCUCGCUCGUUUUCGAGUGAGGCUGGUUUUUGCAAUUUUAUUAGCUAAGUUCUUAAGGGCGCAUGGUGAAUGCCUUGGCACUAGAAGCCGAUGAAGGACGUGGGAGGCU
rnacentral:misc_RNA from 1 species